rnacentral:rRNA from 1 species
UCCAGACUCCUACGGGAGGCAGCAGUGGGGGAUAUUGCACAAUGGGGGAAACCCUGAUGCAGCGACGCCGCGUGGGUGAAGAAGCGCCUCGGCGCGUAAAGCCCUGUCAGCAGGGAAGAAAAUGACGGUACCUGAAGAAGAAGCCCCGGCUAACUACGUGCCAGCAGCCGCGGUAAUACGUAGGGGGCGAGCGUUAUCCGGAUUCAUUGGGCGUAAAGCGCGCGUAGGCGGCGCGUCAAGCGGGACCUCUAACCCCGGGGCUCAACCCCGGGCCGGGUCCCGGACUGGCGCGCUCGAGUGCGGUAGAGGCGAGUGGAAUUCCCGGUGUAGCGGUGGAAUGCGCAGAUAUCGGGAAGAACACCGAUGGCGAAGGCAGCUCGCUGGGCCGACACUGACGCUGAGGCGCGAAAGCUGGGGGAGCGAACAGGAUUAGAUACCCCGGUA